ensembl:snoRNA
GGUCUCUCAGCUCUGCUUAACCACAUGGGUCCAGUGUGUGCUUUGGCGUGUUUUCAGGGAGACAGAGAAAGGCUCUCCUAAUGCACGACAGACCUGCCCAGAAUGGCCUCUCUGUUCCUAGGAGUGCGACAAUU